AUUGAACGCUGGCGGCAGGCCUAACACAUGCAAGUCGAGCGGAUGAAGGGAGCUUGCUCCUGGAUUCAGCGGCGGACGGGUGAGUAAUGCCUAGGAAUCUGCCUGGUAGUGGGGGAUAACGUCCGGAAACGGGCGCUAAUACCGCAUACGUCCUGAGGGAGAAAGUGGGGGAUCUUCGGACCUCACGCUAUCAGAUGAGCCUAGGUCGGAUUAGCUAGUUGGUGGGGUAAAGGCCUACCAAGGCGACGAUCCGUAACUGGUCUGAGAGGAUGAUCAGUCACACUGGAACUGAGACACGGUCCAGACUCCUACGGGAGGCAGCAGUGGGGAAUAUUGGACAAUGGGCGAAAGCCUGAUCCAGCCAUGCCGCGUGUGGGAAGAAGGUCUUCGGAUUGUAAAGCACUUUAAGUGGGGAGGAAGGGCAGUAAGUUAAUACCUUGCUGUUUUGACGUUACCAACAGAAUAAGCACCGGCUAACUUCGUG
rnacentral:rRNA from 1 species